rnacentral:rRNA from 1 species
UACGAAGGGGGCUAGCGUUGUUCGGAAUUACUGGGCGUAAAGCGCGCGCAGGCGGUCCUUCAAGUCAGAGGUGAAAGCCCGGAGCUCAACUCCGGAACUGCCAUUGAAACUGUUUAGCUUGAGGAUGAGAGAGGUGAGUGGAAUUCCCAGUGUAGAGGUGAAAUUCGUAGAUAUUGGGAAGAACACCGGUGGCGAAGGCGGCCUGCUGGGCAGUUGCUGACACUGAGGCGCGACAGCGUGGGGAGCAAACAGG